CAUGCAGAUCUUGUCCCAUAUGCCCAAACCUUCUUUCAGGUAGUUCUGAAAGAAGGUUUGGGCAUAUGGGACAAGAUCUACCUAAUU
rnacentral:miRNA from 1 species